rnacentral:rRNA from 1 species
GACGAACGCUGGCGGCGUGCUUAACACAUGCAAGUCGAACGAAGUGGCGAACGGGUGAGUAACGCGUAAUCAACCUGCCCUUCAGAGGGGGACAACAGUGGGAAACGACUGCUAAUACCGAAUAGUGAAGGAGGGGAUUGCGUCUGAUUAGCUAGUUGGAGGGGUAACGGCCCACCAAGGCGAUGAGCAGUAGCCGGUCUGCUGAGAUGAACGGCCACAUUGGGACUGAGACACGGCCCAGACUGCUACGGGGGGCAGCAGUGGGGAAUCUUCCGAAAUGGACGAAAGUCUGACGGAGCAACGCCGCGUGAGUGAUGGCGGCCUUCGGGUUGUUAAGCUCUGUUAAUCGGUACUCGGUACCGGAAUAGAAAGCCACGGCUACCUACGUGCCAGCAGCCGCGGUAAUAC